AGGCUACUGCUAUUGGAAUUCGACUAAGCCAUGCGAGUCAAGGUGUCUUCGGACGCCGGCAAACGGCUCAGUAACACGUAGGUAAUCUACCCUCAGGACUGAGAUAACCCCGGGAAACUGGGGCUAAUACCAGAUAGAUAAAAGAUACUGGAAUGUUCUUUUAUCCAAAGCUUUUGUGCCUGAGGAUGAGCCUGCGCCCGAUUAGGUAGUUGGUGGGGUAAUGGCCCACCAAGCCUGCGAUCGGUACGGGCAGUGGGAGCUGUAGCCCGGAGUUGGGGACUGAGACAAGGCCCCAGGCCCUACGGGGCGCAGCAGGCGCGAAACCUCUGCAAUGCGGGAAACCGUGACAGGGGGAUUCCAAGUGCUCAUGCAUUGCAUGGGCUGUUCUUUGGUCUAAGUAACCAGAGGAGUAAGGGCUGGGCAAGACCGGUGCCAGCCGCCGCGGUAAUACCGGCAGCUCGAGUGGUAGCCGCGAUUAUUGGGCCUAAAACGUUCGUAGCCGGAUAAGUAAGUCCUUGGUUAAAUCCUACGACUUAACCGUGGGAAAUCUAGAGAUACUGUCUGGCUCGAGGCCGGGAGAGGUGAGAGGUACUUCAGGGGUAGGGGUGAAAUCUUGUAAUCCUUGAAGGACCACCAGUGGCGAAGGCGUCUCACCAGAACGGACCUGACGGCAAGGGACGAAAGCUAGGGGCACGAACCGGAUUAGAUACCCGGGUAGUCCUAGCCGUAAACGAUACUCGCUAGGUGUCGGCCACGGUGCGACCGUUGUCGGUGCCGUAGGGAAGCCGUGAAGCGAGCCACCUGGGAAGUACGGCCGCAAGGCUGAAACUUAAAGGAAUUGGCGGGGGAGCACCACAACGGGUGGAGCUUGCGGUUUAAUUGGAUUCAACGCCGGAAAUCUUACCGGGACCGACAGCAAUAUGAAGGCCAGGCUGAAGACUUUGCCGGAUUAGCUGAGAGGUGGUGCAUGGCCGUCGUCAGUUCGUACUGUGAAGCAUCCUGUUAAGUCAGGCAACGAGCGAGACCCACGCCCACAGUUGCCAGCGUACUCUCUGGAGUGACGGGUACACUGUGGGGACCGCCGCUGCUAAAGCGGAGGAAGGAAUGGGCAACGGUAGGUCAGUAUGCCCCGAAUAUCCCGGGCUACACGCGAGCUACAAUGGUUGGUACAAUGGGUAUCUACCCCGAAAGGGGACGGGAAUCUCCUAAAACCAAUCUUAGUUCGGAUUGAGGGCUGCAACUCGCCCUCAUGAAGCUGGAAUCCGUAGUAAUCGCGUUUCAACAGAACGCGGUGAAUACGUCCCUGCUCCU
rnacentral:rRNA from 1 species